CGUGCAAAACGCCACUAUCACUCAUUAGCAAAGGAAACAGAUUGUUGGAGUGACGCGUCGCGUUAAACAGUUACAUUUUGUUAGUUAGUGAGUUAGUUAGUUAGUUAGUUAGUUAGUUAGUUAGUUAGUUAGUUAGUUAGUUAGUUAGUUAGUUAGUUAGUUAGUUAGUUUACGACGAUCUAUACAUGUUGCUACGUUUCAUCAUUGUUCCUACACUCACACUGUUGAUCGGUGUUGAUGGUUCAGGAAAAUGCACCCGUGGAAAACCAGCAUCCAAGGUUUAUCGGUAAAAACCGAGUUAGAGUGGACCCAAAUUGUGAGUUUGAAGUUUAAGGAGGGUGAAAUGGUUGUAAUGAAAGAUGGGACGCUCUACAUCGCAGUCGGAGAAGAGUCCCUUUACACGACAAUGCAUUGUCGGGGUAAAUUUAGAGUGCUACAAAUACGAGUUUCUUAUAACAUGCUCGCGUACCCCGAAAAGUUGGCGGCUAAAUUCACUCCGGAUUAUCCCGAGGGCUGGAGCGCGGAUAAGGCGGUUGCUUUGAUUAAGAGGUUGACAGGGAAAACCUUUCCUCACAAUAAGUGGCGUUGCAAUGGAAAACACUAUAUGAGGUAUAUAAUUUACGCUGAGACGAGGGCAUCAACUUGGCGCUCGUGCCCUCUGCUUCGAAAUUUGAAGGAUGUAAGCCUUGAAGAUAUACAAAGUGAUGAUUUUUACUUGAUGAAUGGCAUCAAACGGAGUCCAAAGUUUAGUAAAUGAUCUACCGGAUUUCGAGUCUUUGCCAAAGGGCUCAUCGCACAGCACAACACGGUUCUUCUCAUCGAAACGUUCUUCGAAAGGCAGUUCUUUUGCUUCUUCAUCUGGACGCUCAUCCCUAUCUGCAUCCUUAUCUCCAUCCAAUGUUUGACCUUGAUCUCCAAGUCCAAGCCGAUCUCCGGAGGGAUCUCCGCCCAAAGCUUCGUCUGUAUUACUUUUCAACUUGGAUUACAUAUGUAGCACGUAGCGUGAACAUGUUUACCGUCAUUUAUUCCUGCAGUAAAUAAUCGUAGUAAACUCACUCAGUAGUUGAUUUCUGAGGAUGGAGAAGGAAGGGUUUUUGAAGUCUCAAUGAAAGGGACGUUAAACUGUGAAAUUACUGGAAGUGCAUAAUUGGAACUGUAAAUUGAACAUUCUUGUUAAGCAGAAAAUAUUCGAAAAUAAAAAAGUGUCCCGAAUGUACAUGCAUCGAUUAAUCUUUGAAUAUCUCAAGAAUAUGCCUCAGAAAGUUUUGGAUUAUUCCCGUUGCACCGAGGAGUAACAAUUUCCCUGGUUCAAGCUUGUUUGGAACCAGGGUGCUUUGCUUUUUGUCUACCGUGUGACUGUCACUUUAAAAUUUUGGCUACGGUGGUAAACAUGUAAAUUCUGAGAUCGUUUCAUUCAAAAAGUUGAAUUGAAUUAGUAAGAAUGUCAGAAGAAAUUCGGAUGAUUUAGCGGGUAUAAGUGCUGCGAGUAGCAAGGUUGCCGCAUCGUCAAGACUUUCAACCCUUACAACAAAGCCAGCUUUGAUAAGGCGCUUUUAACCUGCAUAGCUAAUUCUAGUCAACGGAUUAAACCAAAAACUCUAAUUACUAGCUUACUCGUUGAAUUUUGACUUUUCCGAUAUUUAAAACGAUCUGCUUGAAAAUUUGACGGAGAAACAUAUCAAGAUACGUUUGGUGCAUGCUUGAAUUUUUUCUCAAGACACAAAAAGUCAUUGGCAUACCAAAUGAUAAUCUACAUAUUUCAAACAUAUUAAAUAAACGACAAAUAGUAUAGAAAAGUCUUUACAAAGAAAAAAAGCUUUAAGCAAUAAAAUACUCGUAUUUCAUUAUACUUUAUCAGCAACUCGAUAACUUUUUUUCAAGGUAAAAUGCCUGUGUGUAGCAUAUAAACAUACUUUCAUAGAAUAUCAAGUUAAAAGUCAAUUAUUCACGGCUAUGGUCCACGUAUAACACUUUUAAAUGAAAUAAUAUAUGUAUUUUGACCGUAAUUAAAACUCUCAGUAGCUUAGGAAAUUAGAGAAAUCAUUUACUCCCGUUUGCGCGUUUUUGCAGACUUCCAGUCAUACUUUAUUUUUUCCUUGAAAACUAGUGAACGUAAUUUCUUGAAAAUUUCCAUGAUUUUCUUCUCUGUAGGUAAAAUAUUCUGUAUAUAACAAUUAUUGUAUAUAUAUAUUAGUUUAAUAAUUGAACAAAAUUCACGAGUAAAUUUCAACCAUAUUUUAAUUACAUUUUAAAAAAUCUUUACAGUAAGCCGACG
rnacentral:lncRNA from 1 species